AGUUUUUUUUUUUUUUUUUUUGGAUAGAGAAUGCUCAAGUUAGGGAUGAGGGGUUGGCAGAGGGGCAGAGGGAGGAGAGAGAGAAUCUCAAGCAGAUUCCAUGCCCAGCUUGGAGCUUGAUGCGCCCCUCUUCAUUCUUUUUUUUUUUUUUUAAAGAUUUUAUUUAUUUAUUCAUGAGAGACAGAGGGUGGGGGAGCAGAGACACAGGCAGAGAGAGAAGCAGGCUCCAUGCAGGGAGCCCAAUGUGCGACCCGAUCCUGGGUCCCCAGGAUCACACCCUGGGCGGAAGGCAGUGUUAAACCGCUGAGCCACUUGGGCUGCCCUCUUGGUUCUUUUUUUAAUGGCAUCUCAUUCACUGAUGAACAUUACCUUCUCAUUGCUGAAAAUAUUCUAAUAUGUUUUACUCUCUUUUGCGUUGUGCCAGAAGUUCCCUUCUGCUGUUUGUUUUGCUCUCUGUCAGGUUGGAAGUAUUUGUGUAAAACCCCCUCUUCCUGGACAGGUCUGGAUUUAAGAACCAUUUGCAUCUGUGGGAGAGCCCUUAUGAUCAGGAGGAAGAUGUCCACAAAAUGCUGGGUAGGCAAAUACCAUGACAGAUGUCCCAUUCUGGCAGCAGGCUCCACUUUUAUUGGGAAGACCUGAAAUGUCAGCAUCUGGCAAUCAUUUAUCCCAGAAGAAGUUCUUGUCUCUGCCCCCUGCAGGUAGGUGCCUAACAGUAGGAAUUCUGGGAGCUGGGUGGGGGAGGGGCUUGGGGUACUUGGUCAGAACACAG
rnacentral:lncRNA from 1 species